GGGCCGUUAGCUCAGCGGUGGAGCGUCCGCCUUACACGCGGAAGGCCGCAGGUUCGAAUCCUGCACGGCCCA
rnacentral:tRNA from 1 species